CCUACGGGAGGCAGCAGUGGGGAAUAUUGGACAAUGGGGGCAACCCUGAUCCAGCAAUGCCGCGUGAGUGAUGAAGGCCCUAGGGUUGUAAAGCCCUUUCGGCGGGGAAGAUAAUGACGGUACCCGCAGAAGAAGCCCCGGCCAACUUCGUGCCAGCAGCCGCGGUAAU
rnacentral:rRNA from 1 species